rnacentral:rRNA from 1 species
CAGAGGGUGCAAGCGUUAAUCGGAAUUACUGGGCGUAAAGCGCGCGUAGGUGGCUUGGUAAGUUGAAUGUGAAAUCCCCGGGCUCAACCUGGGAGCUGCAUCCAAAACUGCCUGGCUAGAGUACGGUAGAGGGUGGUGGAAUUUCCUGUGUAGCGGUGAAAUGCGUAGAUAUAGGAAGGAACACCAGUGGCGAAGGCGACCACCUGGACUGAUACUGACACUGAGGUGCGAAAGCGUGGGAGCAAACAGGAUU